GGCUAGGCUUAUAAAAUUUAUACUUUAUUUUUGAUAAAUUAUAAUUAGUAAAGUUUGUAAAAUUUAACAAUUUUAGGUAAAAUUUUGAUUGUUAUAUUAAAUUUAAUUAUAAUUUAAAAUUUUAAAUAUUGAAUUAGAUUAGUACCUAAGUAAUUAAAUUUUAAAAGUGCAGGA
rnacentral:rRNA from 1 species